UACUUUCUUGUGUUUUGUUAUUUAAGGUUCUAAAACAAUGUGGCUACUAACAGUUCGAUUUGAGCAUCUAAAUGGAAGCUGGAUUUAAUUGUUUAAUAACAAAACAAAAU